rnacentral:rRNA from 1 species
GAUGAACGCUGGCUACAGGCUUAACACAUGCAAGUCGAGGGGAAACGCCGGGGAAGCUUGCUUCCCCGGGCGUCGACCGGCGCACGGGUGAGUAACGCGUAUCCAACCUGCCUCUGACUGAGGGAUAACCCGUCGAAAGUCGGCCUAAUACCUCAUGGCAUCGUCUGCGGGCAUCCAACGACGAUUAAAGAUUUCAUCGGUCAGGGAUGGGGAUGCGUCUGAUUAGCUUGUUGGCGGGGUAACGGCCCACCAAGGCUACGAUCAGUAGGGGUUCUGAGAGGAAGGUCCCCCACAUUGGAACUGGGACACGGUCCAAACUCCUACGGGAGGCAGCAGUGAGGAAUAUUGGUCAAUGGGCGGGAGCCUGAACCAGCCAAGUAGCGUGCAGGAUGACGGCCCUAUGGGUUGUAAACUGCUUUUAUGCGGGGAUAAAGUGAGGGACGUGUCCUUCAUUGCAGGUACCGCAUGAAUAAGGACCGGCUAAUGCCG